GUGAAUCAUCAAAUUUUUGAACGCAAAUUGCACUUUCUGGUAUUCCGGAAAGUAUGCCUGUUUGAGGGUCAGUUAAAUAAAAAUCGGUGUUGUUGCUGCCUUUCGUGGUGACGCGUCGGAUUUGAGUCGUCUUACCUUCGGUUAAGUGACUUAAAAUUUUUGAUUAUUUUUCGAAGUUAUUUAAAUUGUUUACGUCCGUUGAAAUUAU
rnacentral:misc_RNA from 1 species